UCUCAAUCUGCACUUCACUCAAAGCCUCUGGGUAUGGGCCACUCAGUCACUGGUCCUGGCUCCCAAAUAACUCAGCAGAAACAAGUUUCCAACUAAAAAUCCCCUCGAAUGUCUCCCAGGGAAGAAAUAUAGCUUCUGUAAUUAAAGGAGGCAACGGCCAGAGGGGGAAUGCAGCCGGCAGCCAAAAAAAAGUAGGAAGUUCCUGUGUAAACGUGUCUUGGAGUGUUUCAGGAGAAAGAACCGUCCAUUAGCUUUAAAAAAAUCUUCUUGGGUUGGUAAAAAUUGCUGAAACGCUUGAACAUGUGUUUGUGCACCGACUGGCCACAGAGGAUUCAAUUUUGAGGAAUUUUCACCUAAAGGAAUACAAGCUCUUCAGUCCAAACAGCAAUUUGUGGAAUGGUGCAUAGGGAAUAUGGCUAGGUGAACAUUUCAGAAAGGACAGUAAGAGGGUGAGAUGUGAUUGUAGAUAGUGUUCCUGAUUAGCAGAUGCUUAAGUUUUUAGACUAAAAGAGAUAAAAAAUGCUUUUCAUUUGUAAUUCAACUUUAAAAACUUGGGAGAAUUAGUUUCUUUUUCUCUUGAAAUAGUAGGACCCUUUCAGGAAAUUUCUGAUGCCUGACCUAAAGACCUCUCAUUCUUCUUCAAGAUAGAGAAUAAAAUACUUCAAAACUACGCAAUUUUUGAAUUUUAUUCCUUAAUUUUUUCCUGUUUUUCUUGAAGAGAAUUGCCUGAUGAAGAAACUGUUAAUACAUUAUUACAAACAUACCACUUCAAAUUAAAGGCACUGUAUUAUAUAUAUGAUUUUAAAUGAAAUUCAUACCUACGUCUUUUUGCAGUAUAGUUAAAUCAUGCAUCUAGUAUGUU